UUUCCUUCACAAAUCUAUCCAUUGCUUAUGAUAAAAGGGAGUUUAUAGAACUAAACAGGAGAGGAGACUUUCAAGUGUUGUUGCGUUCAACUUUCCUAUAAUCAGGCAUGUGAUUAUGAACCACAGAAAAGAAAAGAAAAGGAAAGAAAAGAAAAAAUCUUCAUGAGUCAAUGCAUGUAAAUGUCAAUGUAAGUCAAUCUCGAGCCCAGCAGACAUGGUCAUGGAUCUCACCGUCACCACGGUGGUACACUUGCUGUGAUGGGCUGCAGACGAGGCACUGUCAUCGCUGGAGGGAACUUCAGUGAUUCAGGCUCAUGAUUUAUUGAAACAUGGAGACAAGGGC